rnacentral:lncRNA from 1 species
CACAGUUGUCCCUUUUACCAGGCCUGGCUUCCUUGCGACAGCACCUCAGCUGCUCCUGUAUAACAUCCUACUUGAGAGCAGGAGAUGCAGAAGCCCCCCAGACACACUCAGUGAGGCUCCUUAGUCUGGCUUACACUGCAUGCUAACAGUUUUGGAGGAAGGCAAGCCACAGAUAAUACAAGUGUGAGGAGGACAACCUGGCGAGUAACGUGGUGCCUAUACCAGCCCUUCUCCCCAGAGCACCAGCAAAGAUUUGGAUGCCAAGAGUCUUUCAUCACCACUUGCUUUUGACCUUUAUUAUGCAACCAACAUCACCUACUGAUGUGUGCACAUUACACAUUCUGCUUUCUACCACCCUCCUUUCCCUCCUUUCUUCUUCUUCUGCUGUUGUUUCUUCUUGGUGGCAGGGGCACCAGCAGGUUUUUGGUGCCUGGGAGGGAUGACAUUACUUGCAGCCGAUACAGCUGCAGCACUGCCGGGCCGAGGGGAGGUAGGUGGGCUGCUGGCAGUCCUACUGGCAUCCAGUUCAGAGGAACCAGCUGUGGUUGAACCCUGAGUUCCCUUGCCAACCUGGUCCUUCUUCUUGCCCUUCUUCCGUCCACGAUAGUACGAACGUUCUCGCAUUGGAAGCCACCGCUCAGGAUCAGGAGUUACCUUGGGGUCAUAGUUCUUGGGCAGCUUUCCUUUCUUCUUUUUCUUCUUCUUCUUCACCUCCCCUUGUCCUUGCUCUUUCUGUUGGUUGUCUCCAGUGAGUUUCCCAGCUUUCUUCCGAACGUAGGUUGCACCAUGGGAGUUCUCUAGCGCAUCAACAUCAACUUUCAGCGACAUGGUGUCCGAGGAAGGCAAAUGCUUGCUAAGAACUUUUGCUUUUUCAGGGUCCACAAGGGAGUAGGCAGAGAUGAGUUGUGCCAAAGUGUGCACAUCCUUUGGGUUUUGCUUCCAGAGCUCCUCCAAGUCGCUGAUUGCUUCUUUCUUCCUGCCAUGCUUUAAUUUGAAGUUGGCAGCUUCCCUUAUCAGUGACAAAUGGACAGGAGACUCUGGCUGAAAGGUAGAGGAGCUGUAAUUAGUUCUUUGCUUUCACAGCAUAUAGCCCA